rnacentral:tRNA from 1 species
UAAAAGAUAGGUUAUAAAAAUCGCUGAAUUGUGGUUUCAGAGAAGUAUAAAAUACUCUUUUUC